rnacentral:rRNA from 1 species
UACAGAGGUCUCAAGCGUUGUUCGGAUUUAUUGGGCGUAAAGAGCGUGUAGGCGGCCAGACAGGUCCGUUGUGAAAACUCGAGGCUCAACCUCGAGACGCCGAUGGAAACCGUCUGGCUAGAGUCCGGAAGAGGAGAGUGGAAUUCCCGGUGUAGCGGUGAAAUGCGCAGAUAUCGGGAAGAACACCCGUGGCUAAGGCGGCUCUCUAGUACGGUACUGACGCUGAGACGCGAAAGCGUGGGGAGCGAACAGG